CGGUGACAGAAGGCCUCGCCAAGGUGACAUGUAGAGUCUGCAGGCUCUAGAGAGACCAUACUGUAACAAGAGAGCACUGGGAGAAGAGCCAAUGAAAUGUAUGGAGUGGACGAUAUGUUGAAUGAGGGGACUGGAGGAACAAGUAUCACCUUGCGGUUCGGGAGAGUUAGAGGCUAAUGGCAGGCUUGUGGACGACUGCGGGAAGGACACGUGGGUUCUCAUGCACAGGCCACAGAACAGUGAGAGUAGAGAAGAAAGAGGAGAUGAUACCCGACAUCCAUGAUGAGGGCAGGGUGCAUCCAGCCAGAAAUCUGGAUGGCUCCAGCACGGACUAGCUUCUCACGAUUCUGCUCACAUCCCUUCACAGGAAAAAGAUACUCCCAGGAACUCAUUAACUCUAGAAAGGACCUUCGUCUCCAUCCCAUCUCCUCCCAAACUGGUUCACUGUUGGAUGAGCUAGCAGUAGGAUAAGAUACCUGCCAAAGUAGUGCUACAUGACUGGAAAAUCUUUUUGUUGGAUAGAAGAAAUACUGCCCCUAAAAUGGCAUUCCUGAGAAAUGGAAACAGUGCACGCAACACAUCACUUGGACAGAGAGAAGGCGUCACCAGAAAAUUAUGCUCUGUGUGCUGCAGGACUGAAGGUGCUGAAUGAGCGUUCGUGCCCAGGUUAGGAAGAACAGUGCCUAAUCUCAUCACCAAGGCUGCAUUCACUUGGAGUUAUUCAUUGGUUUCCAAAGAACUGGAAAGCCUGGGCUUGGCAGCUCUACUUGGCAUUGAACCCAAGAGCAGAGAAGAAGGAGAUUACGCAAUGGUUCUAGGAGGCAGUAUGAAAAAAGCAUAACUGCCCCCGUUGUAAGCCUAAGAUACUAUGCUUACUGCCAGAGCUAAUAAUGCUAAGCAAGAUAACUUUUCCUUUCCAUAUAUGGAGAUUUCCAGCCCAGUGAACUCAAGCUUUUGAAUACCUGCCAUCUGAUGGCUGAGAAUUUUUCUCCAAUCAGAAACACACAGAAGGAUCUUAGUUAUUCACCUCUCAUAUCUGCAUUGAGGAUAAACUCUGAGGACUAUCAUUUAUCCAAGGUCUUUGCAACGGAUCGAAAGGAAAGGACAAAACAGAGAUGCAAUCUUUUCAACUCUAGCUGAGUGAAGUGGACAGAGGGAAGUCUGUGGGCUUCCACUUGUGCCAGCACAGCAGAAGCCUGAGCUACUAGGAUCUUCCACUUCCAUAUACAGAGGAAGCUGCCCUCUCUUCCUUCCCUUUGUCUUUUCCAAAAAUAAUUAGAAGCACAAA
rnacentral:lncRNA from 1 species